ACGGUAGCUAAUACCGCAUAACGUCGCAAGACCAAAAAGGGGGACCUUCGGGCCUCUUGCCAUCGGAUGUGCCCAGAUGGGAUUAGCUAGUAGGUGGGGUAACGGCUCACCUAGGCGACGAUCCCUAGCUGGUCUGAGAGGAUGACCAGCCACACUGGAACUGAGACACGGUCCAGACUCCUACGGGAGGCAGCAGUGGGGAAUAUUGCACAAUGGGCGCAAGCCUGAUGCAGCCAUGCCGCGUGUAUGAAGAAGGCCUUCGGGUUGUAAAGUACUUUCAGCGGGGAGGAAGGGAGUAAAGUUAAUACCUUUGCUCAUUGACGUUACCCGCAGAAGAAGCACCGGCUAACUCCGUGCCAGCAGCCGCGGUAAUACGGAGGGUGCAAGCGUUAAUCGGAAUUACUGGGCGUAAAGCGCACGCAGGCGGUUUGUUAAGUCAGAUGUGAAAUCCCCGGGCUCAACCUGGGAACUGCAUCUGAUACUGGCAAGCUUGAGUCUCGUAGAGGGGGGUAGAAUUCCAGGUGUAGCGGUGAAAUGCGUAGAGAUCUGGAGGAAUACCGGUGGC
rnacentral:rRNA from 1 species